rnacentral:rRNA from 1 species
GACGAACGCUGGCGGCGUGCUUAACACAUGCAAGUCGAGCGGAAAGGCCCUUUCGGGGGUACUCGAGCGGCGAACGGGUGAGUAACACGUGAGUAAUCUGCCCUUGGCUUUGGGAUAACUACCGGAAACGGUGGCUAAUACCGGAUAUGACCAUGCUCGGCAUCGGGUGUGGUGGAAAGUUUUUUCGGCCAGGGAUGUGCUCGCGGCCUAUCAGCUUGUUGGUGGGGUAAUGGCCUACCAAGGCUUCGACGGGUAGCCGGCCUGAGAGGGUGACCGGCCACACUGGGACUGAGACACGGCCCAGACUCCUACGGGAGGCAGCAGUGGGGAAUAUUGGACAAUGGGCGGAAGCCUGAUCCAGCAACGCCGCGUGAGGGAUGACGG